rnacentral:rRNA from 1 species
UGGGGAAUCUUGCACAAUGGGGGAAACCCUGAUGCAGCGACGCCGCGUGAACGAUGAAGCCCUUCGGGGUGUAAAGUUCUUUCGGCAGGGACGAUAAUGACGGUACCUGCAGAAGCAGCUGCGGCUAACUACGUGCCAGCAGCCGCGGUAAUACGUAGGCAGCAAGCGUUGUUCGGAAUUACUGGGCGUAAAGAGUGCGUAGGCGGUUGGCUAAGUUUGGUGUGAAAUCUCCCGGCUCAACUGGGAGGGUGCGCCGAAAACUGGCUAGCUAGAGUGCGGGAGGGGAUAGUGGAAUUCCUGGUGUAGCGGUGAAAUGCGUAGAUAUCAGGAGGAACACCUGAGGUGUAGACGGCUAUCUGGACCGUAACUGACGCUGAGGCACGAAAGCGUGGGGAGCAAACAGG